CCAACCAAAUCUCCUCCGAAAAAUCAAAAGGAAGAAAAACAAAAGUCAGAAAAGCCGCUACCAACAUUAAUGUCGGCUCCUCGAGGAAUCAUAACUUACGCCAAGAGAAGAUCUAUAAAUAAGUAUUCACAAUAAAAAUACAACUUAAUUGUUAUGUGAUAUAAGGUUGUUUUCUCGGUAAAGAGUAAUUUGUA